ACUGUUAUUUUACUCUUAUGUAGUAAAAUAAGUCUGCACGAGUCUCUUAUAAACAAAAUCAUCCCAUUAUAUCCCAAAGUCUGAACAUUUCUGUUCUGAAAUCUGAACCUACAUAUUCUUAUCCACUCGUGCAUUUUGUAUCUUUACAGAAAAAAAAUAAACUAAAGAUGACAGCAUUAAUUGCAUAUACACCAGUAAAGCCAUUUUCUAACUGUUUUUAUUCUGAUGUUGUGUUCACCAUAAAUGGUACCGUAGGCGUGCAAGUACUCUGACUGGACCCGUCCCAUCAUAGUGGACAUGACUGAGGUGGCUCUCUGUGCUGAGAUGGACCCACUUAACUUUACCUCCAAAGUCUGUGCCAAUAAUACAGUCCUACAAAACCUGCUGGCCAAUCAGGACAACACCUGGCUAAUAGAGCACUGUGCCAACUACUCAAAAGACCCAGGGCCAUCUUCUAAUAAAAGUGUGGAAGGAGGAGGCGUGACUAAACAGUGUCAAUACUCCAGCUGGAUCACAUCUCCACCAGAUGCUGCACUCCUGGCUCUAUGCUGGGAGAAUGAUCAGACCAAUUUUUUCUUAUCCAUUUGCCCUAAUGACGGUCUUCUCCUGUUUCUGUCCCGUGAGCCGUGGAGCCAGUGGGUGAACAAGAUGUGUACCACCUACACCAGCUAUACCACUGCCACCACCACCAGCAACAAUAGCAACAACAACACUAGCACCACUACGGACCCUAAUUUUUGCCUAGCAAGAAAUCUGGUGAAGGAGUUCAACUGGAGCUGCUCUACCAUCUUCGCUUCAGCCUGUCAGCCGUGUGCCACUCAGAAUAUGGUCCUGCAGACAGUAGUGCGCUGUUGGGUGGACAGUGUGCGGUCCAGGAUGGUGGAUCUGCUGACUCCACCUGUGGCUAGAGCAUUGGAGCAGGCAGUCAGCACCACUGUGGUUCUCCUGUUAUCCCUGGAGGAGGUUCAGCUCACCCAGUGGCAUGUCACCGAGACAAUACGUCCAAGUGUGCUAAAAUCUGUGGUCAACUAUUUCAAGCUGGAGGACAACUCUGACAACAAGAGAGUCUUACUACAGUGUUUUGGGACGGUGCUAAGCAGCCUGCUGCAGACGGGAAGAAACCUGCAGAACACUGACGAAAUGCUUCUCAUUAAGGCGUACUUCAAUUUAUCGCUGAGCAGCCUGAGGCCAGUGCUCAAAGAAGCUCACAAUCACACCAUCAGACUCAUCCUUCAGUACUACGCCAGUGUCAAAGACACACUGCAGGUGAAUAAGACCAACACCACAUCCGCCUUUUAA
rnacentral:lncRNA from 1 species